CAGUGCACAUUGUUAUAUUGGGGAAAACAUAUUUCUGAUGCAAUGAACACAUUUUUGGAGAUAAAUUAGCAGCAUUACAAAUUUUGCCAUUGCUGUCAGUCACCUUCAGACAAGU
ensembl:snoRNA